ACAAGUACCGUGAGGGAAAGUUGCAAAGAACUUUGAAGAGAGAGUUCAAGAGUGCGUGAAACCACUGGAAUGGAAACAGACAGAGUUGACGAAACUCGUCGAUAUUCAGCUGAGCCUUCGGGCACGGUGUACUUGUCGGCGGUAUGCGCUGAGUCCGCUGUUGGUGUGCGUUGAGCGUCGCGGUGUUGCCCACUUGUGGUGUCUUGCCGCGGCGGGAGGCGUAUCGUCGGUAGCGCGAUUCGGUGUAGGCGUUGAUCACCUGUCUGACCCGUCUUGAAACACGGACCAAGGAGUCUACCGCAUGCGCGAGUCAUUGGGUUGUAAACCUAGAGGCGCAAUGAAAGUAAAGGUCGGCGUUCGCUCGGCUGAUAUGGGAUGCGUGUGCUUGUCAUGCGCCGCACCAUAGCCCCGUCUCGACGGCUUGCCGUGGGGCGGAGGUAGAGCGUAUGUGGUAGGACCCGAAAGAUGGUGAACUAUACGUGAGCAGGGCGAAGCCGGAGGAAACUCCGGUGGAGGUCC
rnacentral:rRNA from 1 species